rnacentral:rRNA from 1 species
AAGCCGAACAGCUAGCCCGUCUACACAACUACAACCCUUAAAUAUUAAUAACCCCUAAAACACUUAACAACAUAAUUAAAUCAUUUUUCCCCCUGAGUAUAGGUGAUAGAAAAGAAACCAGGCGCAAUAGAAAAAGUACCGCAAGGGAACGCUGAAAAAGAAAUGAAACAACUCAGUAAAGCACAAAAAAGCAGAGUUUAACCCUCGUACCUUUUGCAUCAUGUUUUAGCUAGAACCCNCCAAGCAAAAAGCAUUUUAGUUUGAUCCCCCGAAACUAGGUGAGCUACUCCAAGACAGUCUAAUGAUAGGACAAACCCGUCUCUGUGGCAAAAGAGUGGGAUGAGCUUCGAGUAGAGGUGAUAAACCUACCGAACCUAGUUAUAGCUGGUUGCCUGAAAAUUGAAUAUGAGUUCAGCCUCUUGAAUUCUUCCCUCUCUCAAUAGUUAAAUCUAAAUCGAGACACAAAGAAAUCUAGAGAGUUAGUCAAAGGGGGUACAGCCCCUUUGAAACAAGACACAACUUUUUUAGAAGGAUAAGAAUCAAACUAAACAAGG